rnacentral:rRNA from 1 species
UACGGGGGGGGCAAGCGUUGUUCGGAAUUACUGGGCGUAAAGGGCGCGUAGGCGGCCUGCUAAGUCGGAUGUGAAAUCCCUCGGCUCAACCGAGGAACUGCAUCCGAUACUGGCGGGCUUGAAUCCGGGAGAGGGAUGUGGAAUUCCAGGUGUAGCGGUGAAAUGCGUAGAUAUCUGGAGGAACACCGGUGGCGAAGGCGGCAUCCUGGACCGGUAUAUACGCUGAGGCGCGAAAGCCAGGGGAGCAAACGGG